CAGCGCGGGGCAGGGGAGACGAGUAGGAAGCACGAGCAUCCAAAGCUCCGGGCUGUUGUCCUGCGAGUCAGCCAGGUGCCACUUGAACAGACGCCAAGGACAGUAACAAAACAAUUAAAAGCCCGAACCCAAACCCCGCCACCAUCCUAGGAAUACACUGUGUUGACUUUUCUGUCUUGUGUCACGGACGUAGCUGUAAGGAACCUUGGUGGUACAGUGGAUAAGUGCUCGGCUGCUCACAAAGGUUGGGAGUUCCAGCCUACCCACCCAAGCAUCUCUCUGAGGACAACAGGUAUAUAAUUACUCUUGAAUCAGUAAGCCAUGGCAAGUAAGAAAUUUGCUGUUAAAG